AUGAACGCUGGCGGCGUGCCUCAUACAUGCCAGUCGAGCGAACGGACGAGAAGCUUGCUUCUCUGAUGUUAGCGGCGGACGGGUGAGUAACACGUGGAUAACCUACCUAUAAGACUGGGAUAACUUCGGGAAACCGGAGCUAAUACCGGAUAAUAUUUUGAACCGCAUGGUUCAAAAGUGAAAGACGGUCUUGCUGUCACUUAUAGAUGGAUCCGCGCUGCAUUAGCUAGUUGGUAAGGUAACGGCUUACCAAGGCAACGAUGCAUAGCCGACCUGAGAGGGUGAUCGGCCACACUGGAACUGAGACACGGUCCAGACUCCCACGGGAGGCAGCAGUAGGGAAUCUUCCGCAAUGGGCGAAAGCCUGACGGAGCAACGCCGCGUGAGUGAUGAAGGUCUUCGGAUCGUAAAACUCUGUUAUUAGGGAAGAACAUAUGUGUAAGUAACUGUGCACAUCUUGACGGUACCUAAUCAGAAAGCCACGGCUAACUACGUG
rnacentral:rRNA from 1 species